CUUCACCGAGCCCAGCAGCAGCGGGGUCGGUGUCGCGGUCCGCGCCGUAGGUCGCGAGCAGGGCCUGCGCCUC
rnacentral:antisense_RNA from 1 species